rnacentral:tRNA from 1 species
CAGGGAGACAAACAUUGAUCAUGAUGAUUGAUUUAUUGAUUUUCAAUCCAUGAUCCUGUCACCUUAGGUCGAUCGGUACCUCAGAUUCAGAACCAAAGAAAAUUGAGGAAUCAAUUUAGAGAUUGGUAAUUGAUUUCAGUUCCUAAACUUGUCUAGGUCACACCCAGCAAGGGUACUCCUGGGCCAUUAGCUCAGGUGGUUAGAGCGCACCCCUGAUAAGGGUGAGGUCCCUGGUUCAAGUCCAGGAUGGCCCAUUCGGUGUUGGGGGUAUAGCUCAGUUGGUAGAGCGCCUGCUUUGCAAGCAGGAUGUCAGCGGUUCGAGUCCGCUUACCUCCACUGAUUUGCCCUCUGAUAACUGAAGCAAUGGAGAUAAUCUUUGUUGUUUUUUAGUGACUUAGACUUUGUUUUACUUGAUUGAACCUAGCUUCUUAUCAUUUCUUCCCUCAUAAAUCUAUGUUGGGUUAGUUGAUAUGACGCUGGGCUCAUUGCAAUUCACAAGAUUGCAAGGAAGUUCAGUAGAACCUUGACAACUGCAUAUGGUGAGUUUGGAAAGAAUAAAGCAUCUCAUGGAUACAUUAUUCUUAUUUCCAAUUUGAGUAGUUCUUUAAUGAAGAAUUGCUUUUUUGGUAGAAGAAUAAUGUUCAAUUCUUGAGCAAGAGCCGAGACUCUAUAGCUUUUAAGUUAUAGAGGACAAU